AUUGUGAGUAUUUUAAUUGUAUCCAUGCAUGCAUGAGGAAAGAGACUUUUGACAAAAUCUCUUGACUUUCCUGUUGCAUAAUACUACCUCUGUCCCUAAUUAUAAGAUCUUGUUUGACCACUGCACAUACGCCAAUGCACAAUUUUGAUCACAAAUAUCUUUAAUUGUCUAUUAGUAAAAAUUAUAAAAAUUUAAUAAUUGCCUUGCAGAAAAAGCUUUCUCGGUGCUAGAUUUUGGUCAGGGGUCCUUGCCUUGCUAUUUGGCUGCUUGGAGUGUCUUUCAAUGCUCAUCUUAUCAAUGCGACAGGCAUUUUCAUGUUUGUCGUUCCUAGGUAGUAAAGACCAGAGGCGGGCCUUUACUACAUCCAAAAACCACGCCGCAGCAUCAGGGGAGCGUGGAAAACAAUCAUUCUCUUUUCAUUGUUAAUGACCUUCAUAGUUGUCCGUUCC
rnacentral:lncRNA from 1 species